rnacentral:rRNA from 1 species
UACGAAGGGGGAGCUAGCGUUGUUCGGAAUUACUGGGCGUAAAGAGUCGUAGGCGGUUAUUAAGCUAGAUGUGAAAUCCCUGAGCUUAACCUCAGGAACUGCAUUUAGAACUUGGUAGGCUAGAGAGUGUAGAGGUUGGUAGAUUCCUAGUGUAGGGGUGAAAUCCGUAGAUAUUAGGGAAGGAAUACCGAUGGCGAAGGCG